rnacentral:rRNA from 1 species
UACGUAGGGGGCGAGCGUUGUCCGGAUUUAUUGGGCGUAAAGAGCGUGUAGGCGGCCAGGUAGGUCUGCUGUGAAAACUCGAGGCUCAACCUCGAGACGUCGGCGGAAACCAUCUGGCUAGAGUCCGGAAGAGGAGAGUGGAAUUCCUGGAUGUAGCGGUGAAAUGCGCAGAUAUCAGGAAGAACACCCGUGGCGAAGGUGGCUCUCUGGGACGGUACUGACGCUGAGACGCGAAAGCGUGGGGAGCGAACAGG